rnacentral:rRNA from 1 species
CCCGACGACAAGAGUGCUGUGGUCCUACCUGACCCCAUACCGAACUCAGAAGUAAAACGCAGUAACGUCGAUGGUAGUGUGGUGAUUCGCCAUGUGAGAGUAGGGCAUUAUCAAUC